AUAACAAUACAGGGCGAAUGUCUUGUAAUUGGAAUGAUGGUGACCCAAACCCUCACCAGAGUAGCAAUUGGAGGGCAAGUCUGGUGCCAGCAGCCGCGGUAAUUCCAGCUCCAAUAGCGUAUAUUAAACUUGUUGCAGUUAAAAAGCUCGUAGUUGUAUUUUUGCGUUGACGGUUUGACCAUUUGGUUGGUUAUUUCGUUUUCGCUUUUGGGAAUUUCCCUUUUUACUUUGAGAAAAUUAGAGUGUUUCAAGCAGACUUUUGUCUUGAAUACUUCAGCAUGGAAUAAUAGAGUAGGACUUUGGUUCUAUUUUGUUGGUUAUUGAACCUUAGUAAUGGUUAAUAGGAACGGUUGGGGGCAUUC
rnacentral:rRNA from 1 species